rnacentral:rRNA from 1 species
CCUACGGGAGGCAGCAGUGGGGAAUAUUGCACAAUGGGGGAAACCCUGAUGCAGCGACGCCGCGUGAGUGAAGAAGUAUUUCGGUACGUAAAGCUCUAUCAGCAGGGAAGAAAAUGACGGUACCUGACUAAGAAGCCCCGGCUAACUACGUGCCAGCAGCCGCGGUAAUACGUAGGGGGCAAGCGUUAUCCGGAUUUACUGGGUGUAAAGGGAGCGUAGACGGCAGCGCAAGUCUGUAGUGAAAUCCCAUGGCUUAACCAUGGAACUGCUUUGGAAACUGGGCAGCUAGAGUGCAGGAGAGGUAAGCGGAAUUCCUAGUGUAGCGGUGAAAUGCGUAGAUAUUAGGAGGAACACCAGUGGCGAAGGCGGCUUACUGGACUGUAACUGACGUUGAGGCUCGAAAGCGUGGGGAGCAAACAGGAUUAGAUACCCGAGUAGUC